rnacentral:rRNA from 1 species
UACGAAGGGGGCUAGCGUUGCUCGGAAUCACUGGGCGUAAAGCGCACGUAGGCGGCUUCUUAAGUCAGGGGUGAAAUCCUGGAGCUCAACUCCAGAACUGCCUUUGAUACUGUCGAUCUGGAGUAUGGAAGAGGUGAGUGGAAUUCCGAGUGUAGAGGUGAAAUUCGUAGAUAUUCGGAGGAACACCAGUGGCGAAGGCGGCUCACUGGUCCAUUACUGACGCUGAGGUGCGAAAGCGUGGGGAGCAAACAGG